rnacentral:rRNA from 1 species
CAAAGGAAGAACGGCAUCUGAAACUGCGAAUCUUGAGUGUAGGAGGGGAGAGUGGAACUUCUGGUGGAGCGGUGAAAUGCGUAGAUAUCAGAAGGAACGUCGGCGGCGAAAGCGACUCUCUGGCCUAUUACUGACACUAAGUGUGCGAAAGUUAGGGGAGCAAACGGGAUUAGAUACCCCGGUAGUCCUAACUGUAAACGAUGGGCACUAAGUAGAGGGAAUUACCAAUGUUCUCUCUGCCGUAGCCAACGCAUUAAGUGCCCCGCCUGGGGAGUACGGCCGCAAGGCUAAAACUCAAAAGAAUUGACGGGGGCUGGCACAAGCGGUGGAGCAUGUGGCUUAAUUCGAUGCAACGCGAAAAACCUUACCGGGGUUUGACAUGGUAGAAGUAGGAGCCUGAAAGGGUAACCAACGGUAUCCAGUCCGUAACUACUGCAGGUGUUGCAUGGCUGUCGUCAGCUCGUGUCGUGAGACGUUGGGUUAAGUCCCCUAACGAGCGAAACCCUUGUUUUUAGUUACCAUCGGGUUAUGCCGGGUACUCUAAAAAGACUGCCGUCGUCAAGACGGAGGAAGGUGGGGAUGACGUCAAGUCAUCAUGGCCCUUAUACCCCGGGCUGCACACGUGCUACAAUGGUCGGUACAAAAGGAAGCAAGACCGAGAGGUGAAGCGAAUC